GCCUUCUUAGUUCAGUGGUUUAGAAUUUGUCACUAGUAGUCUCGGAUCUUGGAUUCGGUUGCUAUGACAGGGUCACCUGUUCGAUUCAGGUAGAAGGCA
rnacentral:tRNA from 2 species